UGGAACUGAUCAAGAUCAACUUAGAAAAGGCUAAAGAAGCAAUGAAAAGGCAAGCGGAUCAACACAGAACUCACAUAGAAUUCUAGGAAGGAGAUUGGGUUUUUGUCAAGUUCAAACCCUAUCGGCAAAUGUCUGUAGCAUACAGAUUUCACCAUAAGCUAUCUCCCCGAUAUUUUGGGCCAUUUCAAGUCGAAAAGAAAAUCAGUACAGUUGCCUAUAAAAUUACAUUGCCUACUAACAGUGCUAUACACCCAAUUUUUCAUAUUUCAGUGCUCAAAUUAUACAAGGGUGAGCUUCCCCCAAAGAAAUUCAAUUGCUUACCGGCCAGAUUUAGCUGUGAAUAACGAGCCCGUUAUUUUUCCGGAGGAGGUGCUGGAGGAGAGGACGCUGCUGGUCGACGGGAAGCCCGUAGAGCAAAUACGAAUUAAAUGGCAUGGUCUGGAGGAGGAAAAGAGCUGAUCAUGGGAAGACAAGGUAACUUUGUCAAGGUUAUUUCCAACCAUUAACCUUGAGGUCAAGGGUAAUCUUAUGGGGGAUGGAAAUUAUAGGGAGACUUACCAGAACGCGAUGUUGGAGGAGACGCGACGGCUGAUCCAGGACCUGAGAGACGGACCCGACGAGUUGGAGGACGGCGUCGCCAAGUCACCGGCAGAGGAAGGGAAUAACGAUCUCCCAACUGUCGCUUUGGGGAUUGCUAAUCGGAGUCGGAGGAACCGGUACCCGAGUACCUAGUUGGCGGGUUAUGAAAC
rnacentral:lncRNA from 1 species